UCCUGACGCUAGCAGACGUCGAGCUAGAGAAGUUGUACCUGGGUGCUGGCAUCGCCUGUGGUCUGCUGAUCCUCAUCUCCCUCCUGGUCAUCGUCCUGUCCAUCCUGUGUCGGACACAGCGCCAGAGAUCUACCGUACCUAGAGGAGGAAGACUCGUGUCCUACGCACAGUCAGACUUUGACACCUACAAGCCAAUCGGGACUUCAGUUUUCAGAACGCCAUCCAGCGAGAUUGUCUGGGGGUUCCGGCAGCAACCCUCCUCGCCAACCCCAACCAUCACCACCCUGGCCACGCCCACCGACGCCAACCCGUACAUCUUCAGCAACAUCUCGGCCAAGGUGCUUCAAGACGUGCUGGCU